rnacentral:miRNA from 1 species
UUCAAUUAAGGUUGUCCACGAGCAAAGCGGAAAAGUCGAAUACAAGUGCGAAAAGCUGCUCGUAUUCGACUUUUCAGCUUUGCUCGUGGACAACUUUAAUUGAAAAGCUGUA